rnacentral:rRNA from 1 species
UACAGAGGUCUCAAGCGUUGUUCGGAUUCAUUGGGCGUAAAGCGUGCGUUAGACGGUUAUGUAAGUCAGAUGUGAAAGCCCCGGGCUUAACCUGGGAAUGGCAUUUGAGACUGCAUAGCUAGGGUGCGGAAGAGGGAAGCGAAAUUUCCGGUGAUAGCGGUGAAAUGCGUAGAUAUCGGAAGGAACACCAGUGGCGAAAGCGGCUUCCUGGUCCAGCACCGACGUUCAGGCACGAAAGCGUGGGGAGCAAACAGG